AACCCUAGCUAAACAGCUGCUGUCUUUCUUUGCCACAUAAACCAUUCUACGAUGUGCCUUGUGAUACUGAACCUGGGUCUCAUUUCUCCUUUGUUACAGGGACACCAAAGGAGGACGGGAAGCCAAGAGGAGGGAGUUAAGAAUCUUCGCAUUCUUGUUGCCUGCUAUUUCUGUCCCUGUUGAUGCAACAGCAGUUCUUUAAGUAGCAGCAGCAGGUCAUUUGGGUAUCUCCCACACUCCCUGCACCAGCUGCCAGGUGCCUCUGCUGCAAGAUGCACCUGCUGUGCAUGCGCACACUGUAGUUCUCAGGAAGCUAUGGCUCUGCCCUCUGCACACCCAGCCUCUUAAGGCUCAGGCCCCGUUUCCCUUUUGCUUCUGUAUUUUUAUGUGAGCAACCAGGCAAGACCACUCAUUACAUAUUUGGAAGCGUUUUGCCCUUUGAAAGCAGGUGUGUUGAUGAUUAGACACCGAUGUCAAGAGAGCACUGGAGGGCUCAGGCCAGGCAGAGAUGGACGGCUGUCAAUUAUGACCAAUUGCCAUGAAAGGUUUGUGUUAUAGGGCAAGAGAGGGAGAAUUUCAGUCUUUUUGCAUGGCACCCAGGAUACUAUCAC
rnacentral:lncRNA from 1 species